GAUGAACGCUGGCGGCGUGCCUAAUACAUGCAAGUCGAGCGAACGGACGAGAAGCUCGCUGUGCUGAUGUUAGCGGCGGACGGGUGAGUAACAAGUGGAUAACCUACCUAUAAGACUGGGCUUACUUCGGGAAACCGGAGCCAAUACCGGAUAAUAUUUUGAACCGCAUGGUUCAAAAGUGAAAGGAGGUCUUGCUGUCACUUAUAGAUGGAUCCGCGCUGCAUUAGCUAGUUGGUAAGGUAACGGCUUACCAAGGCAACGAUGGAUAGCCGACCCGAGGGGGUGAGCGGGCACGGUGGAACUGAGACAGGGUUCCGACCCCUACGGGAGGCAGCAGCAGGGAAGGUGCCGAAAGGGGAGAAAGCCGGAGGGUGCAGCGCCGCGUGAGUGAGGAAGAUCUCCGGCUCGUAAAACUCUGUUAUUAGGGAAGAAGAUAUGUGUAAGUAGUUGUGAGCAUCUUGACGGUACCUAAACAGAAAGCCCCGGCUAACUACGUG
rnacentral:rRNA from 1 species